AUCAACGCUGGCGGCGUGCCUCACACAUGCAAGUCGAACGAUUAAAGCUCUCUUCGGAGAGUGCAUAAAGUGGCGCACGGGUGAGUAACACGUAAGUAAUCUACCCUCGAGUGGGGAAUAACGUCCGGAAACGGACGCUAAUACCGCAUAAUGCAGCGGCACCGCAAGGUGACAGUUGUUAAAGAUUUAUCGCUUGAGGAGGAGCUUGCGGCAGAUUAGCUAGUUGGUAAGGUAAUGGCUUACCAAGGCAACGAUCUGUAGCCGGUCUAAGAGGACGGUCGGUCACACUGACACUGAAUAACGGGUCAGACUCCUACGGGAGGCAGCAGUCGGGAAUUUUGGGCAAUGGGCGAAAGCCUGACCCAGCAACGCCGCGUGAAGGAUGAAGUAUUUCGGUAUGUAAACUUCGAAAGAAUGGGAAGAAUUAAUGACGGUACCAUUUACAAGCUCCGGCUAACUACGUGCUAGCAGCCGCGGUAAUACGUAGGGAGCAAGCGUUGUUCGGAUUUACUGGGCGUAAAGGGCGCGUAGGCGGCAUGACAAGUCACUUGUGAAAUCUUCGGGCUUAACCCGGAACGGCCAAGUGAUACUGUCGCGCUAGAGUGCGGAAGGGGCAAUCGGAAUUCUCGGUGUAGCGGUGAAAUGCGUAGAUAUCGAGAGGAACACCUGCGGCGAAGGCGGGUUGCUGGGCUGACACUGACGCUGAUGCGCGAAAGCCAGGGGAGCGAACGGGAUUAGAUACCCCGGUAGUCCUGGCCUUAAACGAUGGAUGCUUGGUGUCUGGAGUUUUAUAGUCUCCGGGUGCCGUAGCUAACGCGUUAAGCAUCCCGCCUGGGGAGUACGGUCGCAAGACUGAAACUCAAAGGAAUUGACGGGGACCCGCACAAGCGGUGGAGCAUGUGGUUCAAUUCGACGCAACGCGAAGAACCUUACCUGGGCUAGAAUGCCUCUGACAACUCCAGAGAUGGAGCUUUCUAGGGAAACCUAGACGGAGUGCAAGGUGCUGCAUGGCUGUCGUCAGCUCGUGUCGUGAGAUGUUGGGUUAAGUCCCGCAACGAGCGAAACCCCUGUCUCCAGUUGCCAGCGGAUCAUGCCGGGGACUCUGGAGAGACUGCCGGUGUCAAACCGGAGGAAGGUGGGGAUGACGUCAAGUCCUCAUGGCCCUUAUGCCCAGGGCUGCACACGUGCUACAAUGGCACGCACAGAGGGGAGCGAACUCGCGAGAGUAAGCGGAUCCCGGAAAACGUGCCCCAGUUCAGAUCGAAGGCUGCAACUCGCCUUCGUGAAGUUGGAAUCGCUAGUAAUCGCGGGUCAGCAACACCGCGGUAAAUGUGUUCCUGAGCCUUGUACACACCGCCCGUCAAGCCACGAAAGAUCGGGGGGGGCCAAGUCGCCGCGCUAACCGCAAGGGAGCAAGCGCCUAACCCUCAACGGUCAAUUGGGACUA
rnacentral:rRNA from 1 species